rnacentral:rRNA from 1 species
UUUUUACGGAGAGUUUGAUCCUGGCUCAGGAUGAACGCUGGCGGCGUGCUUAACACAUGCAAGUCGAACGGUGAAGCAGGAGCUUGCUC